CUUUUUCAAUUUUCACAACAUGGAACAUCGAGGACCAUUUGGUACUUUCCAACUCGCACUCUAACCCACAACGCAACCCCUCUGUCGCAUCUUUCUGCGUGUAAGAGAUAAACAAACAAUUCGCGCGCCAAACACGACGGUGCUGCUAACUCCCAGCGGUGUCGUUUCACCACUUCCUCCAUUGCUCUCUCUCUCUGAGUCUGGGAGAUGAAGUUAACGUCACCUGCGCUUCUCAGCCUUCUCAUUCUCUGCGAUCUGCUUCUCUGUCUUCCCUCAUUCACUUUCUCUCUCCUCGCCGCUGACGCCGACCCCGAUACGGAGCUUCUCCUCGCCGGAGACAACGCGACCGCCCUCCUUAAUGCCUCGCUUGCGAGAUCCGACGAUGGUAGCUUCGCCAACAUGAUUGAUCGGGCUCUCGAAAGAGAGUUCCCCGAUAAUGAGCAGAAUGAAGGUACUGAUCCUCGUGGUUUCAACAACAGUGUUGCUGAACAGCAGGCUGUUUUGGAAACUGUUGCCAGAGUUAAGCCCAAGAAAAAUGAGAGCAAAGAGGAAAAGUCAUUUCAGUUCCAUGAUGUUUUUAAUUUGGAUAAUGAGAAUAGGGCAGAGGAUAUGCCAACUUUAAUAGAUCGAAAGGACAAUGUCUUUAUCAUAUCCAAUCCCAAGUCAAAGUAUCCUGUUCUUCAAUUAGACUUGAGAUUGAUAUCAGAUCUUGUAGUUGUCAUUGUCUCUGCAACCUGUGGUGGCAUUGCCUUUGCUUGUGCUGGACAACCGGUGAUGACUGGAUAUCUGCUAGCAGGAUCAAUCAUUGGACCAGGAGGUUUGAGUUUUGUUAGUGAAAUGGUCCAAGUUGAGACAGUUGCUCAAUUUGGUGUCAUCUUUUUGCUCUUUGCAUUGGGCUUAGAGUUUUCAACAACAAAGCUUCGAGUUGUUCGAGCAGUGGCUAUUCUUGGAGGCCUACUCCAAAUUUUCUUAUUUAUGUGCUUGUGUGGAAUAACGGCUUCAUUAUGUGGUGGUAAAUCAUCUGAAGGAAUAUUUGUUGGUGCAUUUCUAUCCAUGUCUUCAACAGCUGUGGUCUUGAAAUUCUUAAUGGAAAGGAAUAGUGUCAAUGGCCUUCAUGGUCAGGUUACAAUUGGAACUCUGAUACUGCAGGAUUGUGCUGUUGGAUUGCUCUUUGCACUGAUUCCUGUUUUGGGUGGAACAUCAGGUGUUCUUCAGGGAGUAGUAUCCAUGACUAAGUCGUUGGUGAUCUUAAUUGCAUUUUUGGCCAUUUUGACCAUAUUAUCUCGUACUUGUGUGCCAUGGCUCCUUAAGCUUAUGAUAAGCUUAUCCUCUCAGACCAAUGAACUUUAUCAGUUGGCAUCAGUGGCAUUCUGCCUACUUGUUGCUUGGUGUAGCGAUAAGUUGGGUUUAAGCCUUGAACUAGGUUCCUUUGCUGCGGGAGUAAUGAUAUCAACAACAGAUCUUGGUCAACAUACACUUGAACAAGUUGAACCAAUUCGCAACUUUUUUGCUGCUCUGUUCUUGGCCAGCAUUGGGAUGCUUAUACAUGUCCAUUUCCUUUGGAAUCAUGUUGACAUUUUACUGGCAGCUGUUAUAUUGGUGAUCAUUAUAAAAACAAUUGUAACUGCAUCUGUUGUCAAGGGGUUUGGAUACAACAACAAGACUUCACUUCUUGUUGGGAUGUCCCUGGCUCAAAUUGGGGAGUUUGCCUUUGUUCUUCUCAGUCGUGCUUCAAAUCUUCAUUUAGUUGAGGGAAAGUUGUACUUAUUGCUCCUUGGAACAACUGCUCUUAGUCUGGUGACUACACCUUUGCUCUUCAAGCUAAUUCCUGCUGUUGUCCAUCUUGGUGCAUUGUUGCGGUGGUUCCCUCCUGAUAGUCCGGGGGAGAUUGCAUUUAAAGGGGACAGCUUUCGCGCAGACAGUGCUAAGCGUAUUCCUUUAAUGGUUCAAGGCUCUCAUGAUUCAUGAUAUCAAAAUAUAUUAUGAAGCAAAAAAGAAAUUUGCGGGCUUUACUUGACGGUUUCUCGUACUAAGGAGGGCAGGUGCUAAAGAGUGCAAAUAAGGUUACUACUAAAUGAAACUAUUUUUCGUUGCAAAAUACUUUGUAUACUGUCUGCUUUCGGAACACGCACUGGAAUAGUAAAUGCAAAUGGCAAACGCAGGCCAAGGGGACCAGGAGUUUAAACCGGAUCCAUCCAUCCACUAACCUAGUAACCUGGGCCAUGUUAUUAACUUGAAUGGCCUAUUUUUGUGUAUAAAGGAAUCUGUAGUUGUAGUUGAUAGUGUAAUUCAUUUUAGAAGCAAUCCUCUUGAAUUUUUUUCCUUCAACUUUUCCCCUUUUAUUUUAUUUAAAAUUUUGGGUUGGUUAAGUUUUCAAUGUGUAAAUUGUCCCUGUACAAGUGUAGACGUUAAGGCAGUCAUCAAAGUCAAAUGUAUCAUGUUCAUAAACUUUUGAAUGAUUAGUGGAAGCGGAAGCAAACCUCAUCGGCUAUUGAGAGUCACCGGUAAUCUCUCUCAUCACCGCCCAUGAAACAGCUGGUCUUUUCUUGAGUCAACAUAAAUGACCAGCGUCUGUUUCAAGUUUGUUGGAAUAAUGUUUGUCCAACAUCCUAAAUUUCUAGGGUAACAAUUUUUUAUCACAAAACAGGGAAUGUAGGGAUGGUAUUAAAAAUAGGAUUGUAAAAAUAUUAUUGUAUUCAAGUAGAUUUACUGUUCUGCACUUGAAUUUUAAUGGUAUUAGUUUUUGG